rnacentral:piRNA from 1 species
UGUGAUAGAAUUUUAACUGGUAC